GCAUUGGAACCACCUGAUCCCUUCCCGAACUCAGAAGUGAAACGAUGCAUCGCCGAUGGUAGUGUGGGGUUUCCCCAUGUGAGAGUAGGUCAUCGUCAAGC
rnacentral:rRNA from 2 species